rnacentral:lncRNA from 10 species
GAUGAGGUCUCACCAUGUUGCCCUGGCUGGUCUUGAACUCCUGGCCUCAAGCCUUCCUUCCGCCUCGGCCUCCCAAAGUGCUGAGAUUACAGGCCUGAGCUGCUGUAUGGCUAUGAUUUUGUUAAAGGCCGACACAGAGGUGAAGUCAACUGCUAGAAAUCACGGCUUUUAAGAGGUGGAGUCACAUUUGAACUCUGGCCUCUGAUGCCAGAUCUGCAGGUCACAUGUUCACCAUGGUCCAGGUGACCCUGACUGCGGUCCCCACCUCUUCUGUGAGGCACAGGGCAGGAUUCCACCUGAGGCGCGAGGAGCCUGGGACGACUCCUUUGGUCUCUUCUGGGGUUCGCAAAAACCUGGGGGUCCCGGGUGUGAAGAAGGGUGUCUGCGCUCUCAGCGGUCAGGCUCCAGGCGCUGCGACAGGACGCCGAGGACGCGCUGGAACUUCUCAAAGCGUUCAGCGCGCGGAGCUCCCGCGCCCCGGCUACCCCAGAGCAGCCUCCGCACGAAGCCGGUGGUCAGGGCCUCCCUCAGCUC